GGCGACCGCUGUGGGAGUCCGAUUAAGCCAUGCGAGUCGGGAGAAUAAGAUUCUCGGCAUACCGCUCAGUAACACGUGGAUAACCUGCCCUGUGCUGGGGGAUAACCUCGCGAAAGUGAGAACAAUACCCCAUGGGUCACUACGCCUGGAACGGUGAGUGGCUGAAAGCUCCGGCGGCACAGGAUGGGUCUGCGGCGUAUCAGGUAGUAGGGGGUGUAACGUACCUCCUAGCCUUCGACGCGUACGGGUUGUGAGAGCAAUUGCCCGGAGAUGGAUUCUGAGACACGAAUCCAGGCCCUACGGGGCGCAGCAGGCGCGAAAACUUGACAAUGCGAGAAAUCGUGAUCAGGGGACUCCAGUUGGCUGGAUUAAUAUCCAGUCUGAACCGACUUUAAAUCGGUCGGGUAAUAGGGGCGGGAAAGACCGGUGCCAGCCGCCGCGGUAAUACCGGCGCCCCAAGUGGUCGUCACUAUUAUUGGGCCUAAAACGUCCGUAGCCGGUUUGGUAAAUCCGUGGGUAAAUCAGACAGCCUAACUGUCUGAAUUCUGCGGGGACUGCCAGACUUGAGACCGGGAGAGGUACGGGGUACCUGCGGGGUAGCGGUAAAAUGCGAUCAUCCCGUAGGGACCACCUGUUGCGAAGGCGCCGUACUAGAACGGAUCUGACGGUCAGGGACGAAGCCUAGGGGCACGAACCGGAUUAGAUACCCGGGUAGUCCUAGGUGUAAACGCUGUGGACUUGGUGUCGGGGACUUUCAGAGAGUUUCCGGUGCCGGAGUGAAGAUGUUAAGUCCACUGCCUGGGGAGUACGGUCGCAAGGCUGAAACUUAAAGGAAUUGGCGGGGGAGCACCGCAACGAGAGGAGCGUGCGGUUU
rnacentral:rRNA from 1 species